rfam:Lupinus angustifolius cultivar Tanjil chromosome LG06, whole genome shotgun sequence.
GGUGCAGGCGAUGAUAUUUUCUUGUGUGAAUACGAAUAUGACAUCCAUUGGCACAGUUUCAAACGCCUUGCUGAUAUU